CCUACGGGCGGCAGCAGUGGGGAAUAUUGGACAAUGGGGGCAACCCUGAUCCAGCCAUGCCGCGUGUGUGAAGAAGGCCCUCGGGUUGUAAAGCACUUUCAGUGAGGAAGAACGCCUGGUGGUUAAUACCCAUCAGGAAAGACAUCACUCACAGAAGAAGCACCGGCUAACUCCGUGCCAGCAGCCGCGGUAAUACGGAGGGUGCGAGCGUUAAUCGGAAUUACUGGGCGUAAAGCGCGCGUAGGUGGCUUGAUAAGCCGGUUGUGAAAGCCCCGGGCUCAACCUGGGAACGGCAUCCGGAACUGUCAAGCUAGAGUGCAGGAGAGGAAGGUAGAAUUCCCGGUGUAGCGGUGAAAUGCGUAGAGAUCGGGAGGAAUACCAGUGGCGAAGGCGGCCUUCUGGACUGACACUGACACUGAGGUGCGAACGCGUGGGUAGCAAACAGGAUUAGAUACCCUUGUAGUC
rnacentral:rRNA from 1 species